rnacentral:rRNA from 1 species
UACGAAGGGUGCAAGCGUUACUCGGAAUUACUGGGCGUAAAGGGUGCGUAGGUGGUCGUUUAAGUCCGUUGUGAAAUCCCUGGGCUCAACCUGGGAAUGGCAGUGGAUACUGGACGGCUAGAAUGCGGUAGAGGGUAGUGGAAUUCCCGGUGUAGCAGUGAAAUGCGUAGAGAUCCGGGAGGAACACCAGCGGCGAAGGCGGCUCUCGAGACUGGUACUGACGCUCAGGAGCGAAAGCGUGGGGAGCGAGUCCGG